rnacentral:rRNA from 1 species
GCGCGAAAACUUACAAUGCUGGCAACAGCGAUAAGGGAACCUCGAGUGCCAGGUUACAAAUCUGGCUGUCGAGAUGCCUAAAAAGCAUUUCAUAGCAAGGGCCGGGCAAGACCGGUGCCAGCCGCCGCGGUAACACCGGCGGCUCGAGUGGUAACCGUUAUUAUUGGGUCUAAAGGGUCUGUAGCCGGCCGGAUAAGUCUCUUGAGAAAUCUGGCAGCUUAACUGUCAGGCUUUCAGGAGAUACUGUCUGGCUCGAGGCCGGGAGAGGUGAGAGGUACUUCAGGGGUAGGGGUGAAAUCUUGUAAUCCUUGAAGGACCACCAGUGGCGAAGGCGUCUCACCAGAACGGACCUGACGGCAAGGGACGAAAGCUAGGGGCACGAACCG